AGCGAACGCUGGCGGCAGGCUUAACACAUGCAAGUCGAGCGGGCGUAGCAAUACGUCAGCGGCAGACGGGUGAGUAACGCGUGGGAACAUACCUUUUGGUUCGGAACAACACAGGGAAACUUGUGCUAAUACCGGAUAAGCCCUUACGGGGAAAGAUUUAUCGCCGAAAGAUUGGCCCGCGUCUGAUUAGCUAGUUGGUGAGGUAACGGCUCACCAAGGCGACGAUCAGUAGCUGGCUGAGAGGAUGAUCAGCCACAUUGGGACUGAGACACGGCCCAAACUCCUACGGGAGGCAGCAGUGGGGAUAUUGGACAAUGGGCGCAAGCCUGAUCCAGCCAUGCCGCGUGAGUGAUGAAGGCCC
rnacentral:rRNA from 1 species